rnacentral:rRNA from 1 species
GAGUUUGAUCGUGGCUCAGGAUAAACGCUGGCGGCGUGCAUGAGACAUGCAAGUCGAACGGACGAUCAGGGCUUGCUCUGAUCGUUAGUGGCGGACGGCUGAGUAACGCGUAGGUGACCUGCCCCGAAGUGGGGGAUAACUGCCCGAAAGGGUGGCUAAUACCGCAUGUGGUGGUUCGUUCAUUCGAACCACCAAAGCAGCAAUGCGCUUCGGGAGGGGCCUGCGUCCGAUUAGCUCGUUGGUGGGGUAACGGCUCACCAAGGCGACGAUCGGUAGGUGGUCUGAGAGGACGAUCACCCCAGACUGGGACUGAGACACGGCCCAGACUCCUACGGGAGGCAGCAGUCGGGAAUUUUGCGCAAUGGACGAAAGUCUGACGCAGCAACGCCGCGUGAGGGAUGAAGGCCUUC